GCCAGUCCGCGAGAUGACAAUGUGUCAC
rnacentral:sRNA from 1 species